AUUCUGUGUCUGUAUUUUGCUAUAUUACAUAUGUAACCGGGGCAUAAUAUUCUCCAUUCAUACCUACCCGCCACUAGGGGUCACUCGUGUUUACGUGAUGCAUAGUAGAGUGCACACAGAGGAAGAGUGUACUACAGGUGUGGGUUGUGCUUGUUCAUAGCUGUCUGCAGCUGAGCACAUGAGCAGUUGUGCAUAAGAUUAAAAGCAAACAUCAGCCUUUCUUAAGGAAGGGGGGAAAGUCCUGCUUGUGUUUUGCUUACCACCUUGUGCAUCAUGUAUUUGGUGUCUGUCUGCAAGAUAUUUCCGGGUGGAUAUAUACAUAUCUAAUGUGGCGGAGAUUGAGCGGGGGAGAACAGAUACACGUGUGUCAGCGCCUCGUUUCAUGUUACAGCGUGUCACAGAAAAUAGCAUCCAAAAGCCACUACCGUUGUUUUAUAGGGGUAUAUUUCAUACAGGGCUAUUUUUGUGUGUUUUCAUUUAUUUUCUCUGUUGAUUUGGGAUCUUUAUAAUCUUGAGAAGGAAUGUGAUUUAAGGAGAAAUGUGUAUUAACCCUUUCUAAUCAGCCGAAUUUCACCCAAAGGGAGUGUUCAAUAGUUGGGCUACUGUUUUAUUUGUUUUAUUUAUUUUUCUUUAAACUGAAUAGGCCAUUGUAACAAAAUAUUUACAGUGUAUUUGGAGCUUGUGUUAAUUUGAUCUCUUUUUAUAUUUCUUGUAAACUUGGUUUAUUAUAAUAUACUACGCAGGGGGAAAUUUCACAGUCAUUUAAUGCUGUGUUUUCUCUUAACUCAGUCGGAAAUAAAGAACCCCUGUUAGAUGUAUGGCUGUGCUGG
ensembl:lncRNA